GAGUUCUCAUUUAGUGGGAGCUUUAAAUAAUCAUGGCAACAAUAAAAGGUUUGAAGGGAAGUGCUACAAUUAUGGGAAGAAGGUGUAAGGGAAUGUCAAAUUCUGUUGUUAUUAUUUAAUAUAUACAGUGUACAUUAGCUGUAUAUUAGGUGUAUAUUUAGUCAUAUCUUUGUAUUCCUUUAUUAGUUAUUUACCUUAUUUAGCUUGUAAUCCUUGAUAUAAAUACCUGUAUAUUUACCUUUCAUAAUAUGAAUAAUUACAACCAAUUUCUCUCAUCUUCUAUUCCUCUCAAACCCUAAACUUUACA
rnacentral:misc_RNA from 1 species